CAGCAGCCACGGUAAUACGUAGGGUGCGAGCGUUAAUCGGAAUGACUGGGCGUAAAGGGCGCGUAGGCGGCGAUCAAAGUCAGGCGUGAAAUUCCUGGGCUCAACCUGGGGGCUGCGCUUGAUACUUGGUUGCUUGAGUGGGGAAGAGGGUCGUGGAAUUCCCAGUGUAGAGGUGAAAUUCGUAGAUAUUGGGAAGAACACCGGUGGCGAAGGCGGCGACCUGGUCCUUGACUGACGCUGAGGCGCGAAAGCGUGGGGAGCAAACAGGAUUAGAUACCCCUGUAGUCCCUGUCUCUUAUAC
rnacentral:rRNA from 1 species